rnacentral:rRNA from 1 species
CUAGCCAUGGGCAGGUUGAAGGUUGGGUAACACUAACUGGAGGACCGAACCGACUAAUGUUGAAAAAUUAGCGGAUGACCUGUGGCUGGGGGUGAAAGGCCAAUCAAACCGGGAGAUAGCUGGUUCUCCCCGAAAGCUAUUUAGGUAGCGCCUCGUGAAUUCAUCUCCGGGGGUAGAGCACUGUUUCGGCUAGGGGGCCAUCCCGGCUUACCAACCCGAUGCAAACUGCGAAUACCGGAGAAUGUUAUCACGGGAGACACACGGCGGGUGCUAACGUCCGUCGUGAAGAGGGAAACAACCCAGACCGCCAGCUAAGGUCCCAAAGUCAUGGUUAAGUGGGAAACGAUGUGGGAAGGCCCAGACAGCCAGGAUGUUGGCUUAGAAGCAGCCAUCAUUUAAAGAAAGCGUAAUAGCUCACUGGUCGAGUCGGCCUGCGCGGAAGAUGUAACGGGGCUAAACCAUGCACCGAAGCUGCGGCAGCGACACUGUGUGUUGUUGGGUAGGGGAGCGUUCUGUAAGCCUGUGAAGGUGUGUCGUGAGGCAUGCUGGAGGUAUCAGAAGUGCGAAUGCUGACAUAAGUAACGAUAAAGCGGGUGAAAAGCCCGCUCGCCGGAAGACCAAGGGUUCCUGUCCAACGUUAAUCGGGGCAGGGUGAGUCGACCCCUAAGGCGAGGCCGAAAGGCGUAGUCGAUGGGAAACGGGUUAAUAUUCCCGUACUUGGUGUUACUGCGAAGGGGGGACGGAGAAGGCUAUGUUGGCCGGGCGACGGUUGUCCCGGUUUAAGCGUGUAGGUGUGUGUUCCAGGUAAAUCCGGUUCACUUUAACACUGAGGCGUGACGACGAGGCACUACGGUGCUGAAGCAACAAAUGCCCUGCUUCCAGGAAAAGCCUCUAAGCAUCAGGUAACAUCAAAUCGUACCCCAAACCGACACAGGUGGUCAGGUAGAGAAUACCAAGGCGCUUGAGAGAACUCGGGUGAAGGAACUAGGCAAAAUGGUGCCGUAACUUCGGGAGAAGGCACGCUGACACGUAGGUGAAGUGAUUUACUCAUGGAGCUGAAGUCAGUCGAAGAUACCAGCUGGCUGCAACUGUUUAUUAAAAACACAGCACUGUGCAAACACGAAAGUGGACGUAUACGGUGUGACGCCUGCCCGGUGCCGGAAGGUUAAUUGAUGGGGUCAGCGCAAGCGAAGCUCCUGAUCGAAGCCCCGGUAAACGGCGGCCGUAACUAUAACGGUCCUAAGGUAGCGAAAUUCCUUGUCGGGUAAGUUCCGACCUGCACGAAUGGCGUAAUGAUGGCCAGGCUGUCUCCACCCGAGACUCAGUGAAAUUGAACUCGCUGUGAAGAUGCAGUGUACCCGCGGCAAGACGGAAAGACCCCGUGAACCUUUACUAUAGCUUGACACUGAACAUUGAGCCUUGAUGUGUAGGAUAGGUGGGAGGCUUUGAAGUGUGGACGCCAGUCUGCAUGGAGCCGACCUUGAAAUACCACCCUUUAAUGUUUGAUGUUCUAACGUGGACCCGUUACCCGGGUUGCGGACAGUGUCUGGUGGGUAGUUUGACUGGGGCGGUCUCCUCCUAAAGAGUAACGGAGGAGCACGAAGGUUGGCUAAUCCUGGUCGGACAUCAGGAGGUUAGUGCAAUGGCAUAAGCCAGCUUGACUGCGAGCGUGACGGCGCGAGCAGGUGCGAAAGCAGGUCAUAGUGAUCCGGUGGUUCUGAAUGGAAGGGCCAUCGCUCAACGGAUAAAAGGUACUCCGGGGAUAACAGGCUGAUACCGCCCAAGAGUUCAUAUCGACGGCGGUGUUUGGCACCUCGAUGUCGGCUCAUCACAUCCUGGGGCUGAAGUAGGUCCCAAGGGUAUGGCUGUUCGCCAUUUAAAGUGGUACGCGAGCUGGGUUUAGAACGUCGUGAGACAGUUCGGUCCCUAUCUGCCGUGGGCGCUGGAGAACUGAGGGGGGCUGCUCCUAGUACGAGAGGACCGGAGUGGACGCAUCACUGGUGUUCGGGUUGUCAUGCCAAUGGCACUGCCCGGUAGCUAAAUGCGGAAGAGAUAAGUGCUGAAAGCAUCUAAGCACGAAACUUGCCCCGA